rnacentral:rRNA from 1 species
CCUACGGGAGGCAGCAGUGAGGAAUAUUGGUCAAUGGGCGAGAGCCUGAACCAGCCAAGUCGCGUGAGGGAGUACUGCCCUAUGGGUUGUAAACCUCUUUUGUCGGGGAGCAAAAGCCGGACGUGUCCGGCUGUGAGAGUACCCGAAGAAAAAGCAUCGGCUAACUCCGUGCCAGCAGCCGCGGUACUACGGAGGAUGCGAGCGUUAUCCGGAUUUAUUGGGUUUAACGGGUGCGCAGGCGGAUUUUUAAGUCAGCGGUAAAAUCGUGGGGCUCAACCCCAUCCAGCCGUUGAAACUGGGGAUCUAGAGUGUGCGAGAGGUAUGCGGAAUGCGUGGUGUAGCGGUGAAAUGCAUAGAUAUCACGCAGAACCCCGAUUGCGAAGGCAGCAUACCGGUGCACAACUGACGCUCAGGCACGAAAGCGUGGGUAUCGAACAGGAUUAGAUACCCCAGUAGUC